AGCGCUGCGGCAACCGGUCUACCAAGGCCGUCGUCCUUCCCUAGGCCGCAGCCACGCUACAUCUCUCCAGACUGUCGCCGCGCCCAUGCCCAUAAGCACUACGGGCGCCAACCACCACUAGCCCACGCCGCCUCGGUGACCUCUUCCCGCAUCGCGGUUGUCGGAUCCACAACCCCUGCCCCAGUCAACCUCCUACCACCCCCGGACCGUCGGCGUAUCCUGGCCGGCGGCCACCCCCGAUGAACCUAUCGCGAUGGGUAUAGGCCGGCAGACGCCCCCAGUGCGCCUCUCGCGGCAUAUCCGGGCUGGCAGCCACCCGGUCCAUGAUGGCGCUACCCCAGUCAUAGCGUCAACCACCUCGUCCCCUCGGCUGGAUCCACCCACCCCUUGUUGGAUCCACCCACCCGUCACCAAAUCGAAGCAUCCCCAAAACCAAGAUUUUCCACAUAUCAGCACACCCCCGGCCUCCAGAUCAGCGUCGUUCUUCUUCAAGCCCAAGGCUCAUCGACUUUCUCUUGCUUCGCAUCCUGUAGUGAUGAAGGUGAAUGGGAGCGACCACCAUGCAAUUCAGACAAUGUCUUUUUUCCUUUUUUAGAUUCUGGACAUGCAGUGCAGUCAGAUCUAGCGGUAAGUGCGCUGCGCGUGCUCGUGCUUAUUAUGCAGCUCGUCGCGACUCAUUUUAGAGGUUUUUUGUUUCAUAUUUUACUGUUGUAGUGCGCGUGCACUUUAAGUUGUAUCUGUCCCAAUGCAGUUCCUUAUAUUUUUGUAUGAUGUCGUUUUCUUUGUUCACUGAUGUGGUGCCGGUGGGUUUUUUAGAUGGAUUUUCAGCUCCUGGGGAGUACAUAUUUUAUAUAUGUGUGUGGCUGCCUAGAAAAUCAGGUAGAUGUGUAUGCUUUAAAGCUCGCUUUGUUCUCUCAAGUAGUUCGUUAUUAAAUUUCUUGUUAUAAAAGCAAGAAAGAUCGCAAGCAAUCCUCUGUCAUGACAUUACAUCGCGCUUUCCUAUCAGAUGCAGUGCACUAGCAUUGACAAUGCGGUCCACUUAAUUUUAUGAAAAAGCCUAGAAAAGAAAUAAAAAAAAGGCAUGCGGUCUAUUUAGACUCAUGUCGUGAUUUACUUUUUCCUUGGAUGUGGUUCACUUACCCCUCGUAACUGUGGUCAACUCUCGUUCAUAAAAAAGUGAGGAAAAAUGACAAAGAUAAAUCAUGCAGUUCGCGUGCCUAUAGUAUGCAACACGGUUUUUCGUCUGAAGCCGUACGUUUCUCUGUCCGAUGGAGUUUCCUCGUCGAUUUUGGUUUCGCGAAAAACAGAGGUUCUGCGUUUCGGUAAAUUUAAAACUGCUCUUAAGCCGUAAGGAAUUAGAGAGAGUGAUUUGCAUGAAAAAUUUGCACCUCGUUUAUAUCUUUUCAAUGCCUUAUCAUUUGCAUCAUUCCGACAAGAGGUUUGAAACUUUUUACGAAAAUACGCUCGCUGCAAUUCGUAGACAGCCCCACCGUUUUCAAAAUUCGUUUAAAAUCGUGAGUAAUCUCAACAAAUGACAAACAUAGGAAAGUUGUACCUAUUACAUGUAUUUUCAACGCCAUAUCAU
rnacentral:lncRNA from 1 species